AUGGAAACAAGCAGUGUAAGUUCUGGAACAGAUUUCAUCCUUCUGGGGUUUUCUGAUCGACCCCAAUUAGAGCACAUCAUCUCAGUGGUUGUCUUCAUCAUCUAUAUUGUGACUCUGGUAGGAAAUACAACCAUCAUUCUUGUAUCUUAUCUAGACACCCAGCUCCAUACCUUCAUGUAUUUUUUCUUAUCCAAUUUGUCUUUCUUGGACCUCUGUUAUACAACUAGCAUUAUCCCCCAGAUGCUGGCAAAUCAAUGGGGCCCAAAAAAAUCUAUUACUUAUGGAGGGUGUGUACUCCAAUUCUUUUUUGUCCUUGACUUGGGAGCCACAGAAUGUCUUCUGUUGGCUGUGAUGGCCUAUGAUCGUUAUGCUGCUGUCUGUCAACCUCUUCACUACACCUUAAAAUGCACCCUCAGCUUUGCCACUGCCUGGUUGAGUGGUCUUGCCAGUGCCUUAAUUGUUUGCUCCUUGACUUUGAAGUUGCCAAGAUGUGGGCACCGGGAAGUGGAUAAUUUUUUCUGUGAGAUGCCAGCAUUGAUCAAGAUGGCUUGUGUCUAUUCAAAAGUAAUUGAGAUUGUUGUCUUUGCUUUCGGAGUGGUAUUUCUUUUCGUACCUCUAUCACUAAUUCUUAUCUCAUAUGGAGUUAUCACUCAAGCUGUAAUGAGGAUCAAGUCAGCAACAAGGUUGCAAAAGAUCCUUAAUACAUGUGGCUCCCACCUCACAGUAGUAAUUCUGUUUUAUGGAACAAUCAUUUAUAUAUACAUGAAGCCACAGAAUACCAUAUCCCAAGAUGAAGGGAAGUUCUUCACUCUUUUACACAAUCAUCACACCCAGCCUUAACCUUCCCAUCUACACUUUAAGAAACAAAGAUGUAAAGAGUGCACUGAAGAGAAUACUGUGGAUGAAAAAAUCUUCAGCAGAAUCAUGA
rnacentral:lncRNA from 1 species